rnacentral:rRNA from 1 species
AUUGAACGCUGGCGGCAGGCCUAACACAUGCAAGUCGAACGAGUGGCGGACGGGUGAGUAAUGUCUGGGAAACUGCCCGAUGGAGGGGGAUAACUACUGGAAACGGUAGCUAAUACCGCAUACCAUCGGAUGUGCCAAGAUGGGAUUAGUUAGUAGGUGGGGUAAUGGCUCACCUAGGCGACGGUCCCUUGCUGGUCUGAGAGGAUGACCCGCCACACUGUGACUGCGACACGGUCCAGACUCCUACGGGAGACAGCAGUGGGGAAAAUUGCACAAGGGGCGCGAGCCUGAUGCAGCCAUGCCGCGUGUAUAAAGAAGGCCUUCGGGUUGUAAAGUACUUUCAGCGGGGAGGCGUUACCCGCAGAAGAAGCACCGGCUAACUCCGUGCCAGCAGCCGCGGUAAUUC